GAUGAACGCUGGCGGCGUGCCUAAUACAUGCAAGUCGAGCGAACAGACGAGGAGCUUGCUCCUCUGACGUUAGCGGCGGACGGGUGAGUAACACGUGGAUAACCUACCUAUAAGACUGGGAUAACUUCGGGAAACCGGAGCUAAUACCGGAUAAUAUAUUGAACCGCAUGGUUCAAUAGUGAAAGACGGUUUUGCUGUCACUUAUAGAUGGAUCCGCGCCGCAUUAGCUAGUUGGUAAGGUAACGGCUUACCAAGGCGACUAUGCGUAGCCGACCUGAGAGGGUGAUCGGCCACACUGGAACUGAGACACGGUCCAGACUCCUACGGGAGUCAGCAGUAGGGAAUCUUCCGCAAUGGGCGAAAGCCUGACGGAGCAACGCCGCGUGAGUGAUGAAGGUCUUCGGAUCGUAAAACUCUGUUAUUAGGGAAGAACAAAUGUGUAAGUAACUAUGCACGUCUUGACGGUACCUAAUCAGAAAGCCACGGCUAACUACGUG
rnacentral:rRNA from 1 species